GACCGCUCCGGUAGCCUAGUGGUUACAGCGUCCGCCUCGGAUGCAGAAGGUCGCGGGUUCGAACACAGGCCGAGUUA